AUUGAACGCUGGCGGCAUGCUUUACACAUGCAAGUCGAACGGUAACAGGCCUUCGGGUGCUGACGAGUGGCGAACGGGUGAGUAAUGCAUCGGAACGUGCCCAGAGGUGGGGGAUAACGCAGCGAAAGCUGUGCUAAUACCGCAUGUGAUCUGAGGAUGAAAGCGGGGGACCAGGCAGCAAUGUUUGGCCUCGCGCCUUUGGAGCGGCCGAUGUCAGAUUAGGUAGUUGGUGGGGUAAAGGCCUACCAAGCCGACGAUCUGUAACUGGUCUGAGAGGACGACCAGCCACACUGGGACUGAGACACGGCCCAGACUCCUACGGGAGGCAGCAGUGGGGAAUUUUGGACAAUGGGCGCAAGCCUGAUCCAGCAAUGCCGCGUGCGGGAAGAAGGCCUUCGGGUUGUAAACCGCUUUUGUACGGAACGAAAAGGCUCUGGCUAAUACCUGGGGCUGAUGACGGUACCGUAAGAAUAAGCACCGGCUAACUACGUG
rnacentral:rRNA from 1 species